AAGCAUCCCCAACGCACCUCGCACACCUUGCCCCCCAGCUCGCACGCACGCCCUGAGACCAGGGCAGCGCACAGCUCCAAGUGCUGUGCCCUGCCCUUCCCAGCCGCUGUCCCCCCCAGACCCCGCGCCCAGCCCGUUAGCGCCCACCGCCCCGCUAUCCCAGCGGGAACACGAGCAGACUGCGGGACAGGCGAUAGUGCCACGGAUGCCAAGCGGGACAACAGCAAAUACCACCCCGUUAGGCUACGGGCUGCGCCCCAGUGCAGCCGCUCCCCUCCAAGGGGGGCACAGCGAGAGAAAAGCAGGCUGUCCUGGGCGGAGAGAGGGCCCAGAGGACGGAGGGGAUCGGGACUCUGCUCAGCUGCCCAGGACUCGGACAUCCACAGCAACACGCCAGUCCGAAGGCUGCUUUUGCCUUGGGUGAAAGAUUUUCAUCUCCUGACCAUCAAAACCAAGCCAACAGGAGCCUACGCAGGCCGCGCAUCUGACUGCCGACGGGCACUCGAGCGCUCCAAGCAGACCCACUGCUCAGCUAACCCUUGUUGUCACCCUGACAUACGCCAUCCCCGUGAGACAAGGAUACUGGAGCAUCCAGGGACCACCACGGUUUCCAACAUGGCCAGACCUCUGCCAGACUAGCAGGGAAUGUUUGAGGAAGAAGGUCUGUGCCCAACCAAGGCCCAGGACUUAUUUCCACUUAAGAUACCACUAGAAUAAAUUUGGGACAGUUUUAAAGCUUCUGUGGCUC
rnacentral:lncRNA from 1 species